GUUUCACUUUUAUGGGAGACAGUGGUCGUGGGAAGGGCACCCAAAUAACCUCUUGUCCUUACCCAGGGCACCCACGGUGGAAAGCAGACCAGUCCGUGCACAUUGGUUCAUGGUCACUGUCAGCUAAUAACUGUAAGUUGGAUUUUCUCUAGGAUUUAAAAACGUAUAAGCCUUGUUCGAAUUCCCCUUUCACAGCGUUCAAACUAGUUGAGUGUCUUGUGCCUAGUUUUUGACAUCCCGUUCCAUUUCAGACCCAGAGUCCUUGAGCCUUAACACAAUUCAGUUUUACUGGUUCUCUUGGGCCUGUCACACAGGAGUGUGUCCAGCAGAUGGCGCUGGAAUUCUUAGACGGCAGACCCAUGCUCUGAAG
rnacentral:lncRNA from 1 species